UUUUUUUUUUGGAAUUGAUGGGUUUUUGAAAUUGAUAUAGAAAGAGUAAUGACACUUUAUUUCAAAAACAACCUUAUUUCUUGCUAUUUUUAGGAAGACUUUUUUUUUNNNNNNUUUUUUUUNNNNNNUUUUUUUUUUCUUUUUUUUUCAUCACCUUCUUUUUUUUUCAUCACUUUUUUUUUUCAAAACUUCAACUUUUCAUCUUCCUUUUUGCCUUCCUUUUAUUUUGUGGUGAGACACUUACCCACACACUUAUUCAUUACUUACUUAUAACACAAUCCAUUACUCAUUCUUCUUUCCCAAGGUGAGGAACAUGUGAUUUAUCUUCAUUUUUUUCAUUUGGCAAUUUCUGGAAACAAGAAAAAUAGUCUUAAGGCUCAAAGGGGUUUNCAAUGGAUUAAUGUUAAGGUAAGUUUAUUUGGCCAAGUAGCUAAAACAAGAAAUGCCUCAAUCAUAUCAAAUCAUGCAUAUUCACCUNAGUUNCACAACACAUAAUCAAGCUAAAUAUUAGAGUAUCAUCAAAACAUGGGCAAAUCACUCAAGAAAAAUAGGUAUGGCACAUGAUAGUCCAUCCUUAUCAUUAGGCUCAAAUAGAUCAUAAAAGUAACAGAAAAUAGGUCCAAGCCCACGUCGUCAGCGCUCAACGCUCAAAUGAGGGCCGCUAGGCAUGCUGCAGUGUAUAAAACUAGCGCUCAAUGCCCUUGGAAGUGCGCCCAAGCGUGGAAUGAUUCAGAAAAAUGGCGCUCAGUGCCCCUGAAAGGGCACCCAAGCGUGAACUCGAAGCUAGUAGCCCUGAGGGCCUUAGAAAAGGGCAGUCAGGCGUGAACCAGUGGCUUUCAGUGCUGAGGGCCCCAGAAAAGGACGCUCAAGCAUCUUGUGACCCUCCCUUCUGAUCCUUUUUCAAUUCUUUCUAAGUUCCAUCUCCUUGGUACUUUACCUCCUCUUCCAAAUCAUCCAAAUUUCCUACAA
rnacentral:lncRNA from 1 species